UACGGAGGGUGCAAGCGUUAUCCGGAUUCACUGGGUUUAAAGGGUGCGUAGGCGGGCUUGUAAGUCAGUGGUGAAAUCCCUGAGCUUAACUCGGGAACUGCCAUUGAUACUAUAUGUCUUGAAUGUUGUUGAGGUUUGCGGAAUAUGUCAUGUAGCGGUGAAAUGCUUAGAUAUGACAUAGAACACCGAUUGCGAAGGCAGCUGGCUAAACAAAUAUUGACGCUGAGGCACGAAAGCGUGGGGAUCAAAC
rnacentral:rRNA from 1 species